rnacentral:snRNA from 1 species
UUCCUAGCUUCGGGUGGACAUAUACUAAAAUAGGAACGAUACAGCGAAAAUUAGCAUGGCUCCUGCGCAAGAAAGACAAUCGUAGAUAAGACAUAGCAACGCCUAAA